rnacentral:lncRNA from 1 species
AGGAUGCAGACUUACUGUCUCUCAGAGGAUUGCUACCUGGUGAGAGUGGACACACAAGAGAGCCUGAGAGCUUUAACUGAGAGUUGAAGUUAUUCUGGAGGAGGAAGAAGGUGGUGUGACCAACCCAUGAGGGUUUGCAUCGGGGACAAAUUGGUCAUGAAUUAAAAUGGAUAUUCAACUGUUCCAUGAGGCAACGAAUGGGGAUUUUACAUAUUAAAUCAGCAUUGUCUGCUGGAGCUCUCUGCCACCUGGGAAGGCUCUGCAUUUGGGCUGUCAAAGCCACAAGCUCAGACAAUGAAGAUGGCAAACUGAAGGUGUACACUUCUUUCAAGUCAGUCACCAGAGGCUUAAGUGUUGGACUGUGUCUAUGGAUAUCCUAUUGCAGAACAUGGCGUUAGAUUAGUGAGAACAGUCUUCCUCUAUAGGCACAACUUUGCAUCAGACAUUUGAUGGGAGAGGUUCGUCUUUGAAGGGAAGUUUUAUUUAAGUCUGUCCCUGGAUCCACAUCAUCCGUACGUCUGUCUACAGGGCAAAGGACUUCAUCUUUCAUGAGUGCAAUUUCAAACUUGGUGCCAACGAGAGACAUCUUCCCUGGACUCAAAUGCGCGAAGCCUGAACAGGACAUCUUGAGUGUUAGCUUCUCUGGGACGGCUGCGGUGUGCAGCACAUUUUUGUUAAGGUGUUAUUCAAAGUUUCUGAUUAACAUAAGUUUUUCUUAAAAUUAUACAAAAACAUAAUACCAUGAUUAUGGAAAUAAAAAGCCACCCACAAGCUUACUAUCUUUACA